UCUCUUAUUUAAUAUUUUAAUUGCAUAUUUAAUUUUAGCUUAUAUUUUCAUUUUUACAAUAUGUUUAAUGCUGCUAGGGGUGGAAAUAAAAAGAGAGGUAGUCCUGUAGCUUCUGGUAGUAAUAGUAAUGACCCAAUAACACAUGUUUCUGAAUCAUCGCCUAAUAAGCAAGUUGUAGAGAUUGAUUAUGAACAAUUAAAAGAAGAUUUUGGAAUAGAAGAUAAUGAAAUUGGAAUAGAAGAUGAGAUACCACCUAUACCUAGUAGUGG
rnacentral:lncRNA from 1 species